rnacentral:rRNA from 1 species
GACGAACGAUGGCGGCGUGCUUAACACAUGCAAGUCGAACGAUGAAACCUAGCUUGCUAGGUCGAUUAGUGGCGAACGGGUGAGUAACACGUGACUAACCUGCACCUUUCUCUGGGAUAACGCUCCGAAAGGAGUGCUAAUACCGGAUACUCACAUCGAGGCACAUGCCUUGGUGUGGAAAGUUUUUCGGAAAGGGAUGGAGUCGCGGCCUAUGAGCUUGUUGGUGAGGGAACGGGUCACCAAGGCGACGACGGGUAGCCGGCCUGAGCGGGCGACCGGCCACACUGGGACGGAGACACGGCCCAGACUCCUACGGGAGGCAGCAGUGGGGAAUAUUGCACAAUGGGCGCAAGCCUGAUGCAGCGACGCCGCGUGAGGGAUGAAGGUUUUCGGAUUGUAAACCUCUUUCAGUAGGGACGAAGCGAAAGUGACGGUACCUAAAGAAGAAGCACCGGCUAACUACGUGCCAGCAGCCGCCGUAA